rnacentral:rRNA from 1 species
AGUGAACGCUGGCGGUAGGCCUAACACAUGCAAGUCGAACGGCAGCACAGUAAGAGCUUGCUCUUACGGGUGGCGAGUGGCGGACGGGUGAGGAAUACAUCGGAAUCUACUUUUUCGUGGGGGAUAACGUAGGGAAACUUACGCUAAUACCGCAUACGACCUACGGGUGAAAGCAGGGGAUCUUCGGACCUUGCGCGAUUGAAUGAGCCGAUGUCGGAUUAGCUAGUUGGCGGGGUAAAGGCCCACCAAGGCGACGAUCCGUAGCUGGUCUGAGAGGAUGAUCGGCCACACUGGAGCGGAGACACGGUCCAGACUCCUACGGGAGGCAGCAGUGGGGAAUAUUAGACAAAGGGCGCAAGCCUGAUCCAGCUAUACCGCGUGGGUGAAGAAGGCCUUCGGGUUGUAAAGCCCUUUUGUUGGGAAAGAAAAGCAGCAGGUUAAUACCCCGCUGUUCUGACGGUACCCAAAGAAUAAGCACCGGCUAACUUCGUG